rnacentral:rRNA from 1 species
GGGCCCGCACAAGCGGUGGAGCAUGUGGUUCAAUUCGACGCAACGCGAAGAACCUUACCCAGGCUUGAACAGCGAGUGACCAUUCCCGAAAGGGAACUUCCGCAAGGACACUCGUAGAGGUGCUGCAUGGCUGUCGUCAGCUCGUGUCGUGAGAUGUUGGGUUAAGUCCCGCAACGAGCGCAACCCUUGUCUGCUGUUGCCAUCACGUUAUGGUGGGCACUCUGCAGAGACUGCCGGUGAUAAACCGGAGGAAGGUGGGGAUGACGUCAAGUCAGCAUGGCCUUUAUGUCUGGGGCUACACACGUGCUACAAUGGCCGAUACAAACCGUCGCAAAACCGUAAGGUCGAGCUAAUCGGAGAAAGUCGGUCUCAGUUCGGAUUGCAGGCUGCAACUCGCCUGCAUGAAGUUGGAAUCGCUAGUAAUCGCGGAUCAGCACGCCGCGGUGAAUACGUUCCCGGGCCUU